rnacentral:rRNA from 1 species
GGUAACGGCCCACCUAGCCAACGAUGGAUAGGGGUUCUGAGAGGAAGGUCCCCCACAUUGGAACUGAGACACGGUCCAAACUCCUACGGGAGGCAGCAGUGAGGAAUAUUGGUCAAUGGACGAGAGUCUGAACCAGCCAAGUAGCGUGAAGGAUGAAGGUCCUACGGAUUGUAAACUUCUUUUAUAAGGGAAUAAACCCUCCCACGUGUGGGAGCUUGUAUGUACCUUAUGAAUAAGCAUCGGCUAACUCCGUGCCAGCAGCCGCGGUAAUACGGAGGAUGCGAGCGUUAUCCGGAUUUAUUGGGUUUAAAGGGAGCGCAGACGGGUCGUUAAGUCAGCUGUGAAAGUUUGGGGCUCAACCUUAAAAUUGCAGUUGACACUGGCGUCCUUGAGUGCGGUUGAGGUGUGCGGAAUUCGUGGUGUAGCGGUGAAAUGCUUAGAUAUCACGAAGAACUCCGAUUGCGAAGGCAGCACACUAAUCCGUAACUGACGUUCAUGCUCGAAAGUGUGGGUAUCAAACAGGAUUAGAUACCCUGGUAGUCCACACGGUAAACGAUGGAUACUCGCUGUUGGCGAUAUACUGUCAGCGGCUUAGCGAAAGCGUUAAGUAUCCCACCUGGGGAGUACGCCGGCAACGGUGCAACUCAAAGGAAUUGACGG